rnacentral:rRNA from 1 species
UACGUAGGGCGCGAGCGUUGUCCGGAUUUAUUGGGCGUAAAGAGCUCGUAGGCGGCUUGUCGCGUCGACUGUGAAAACCCGUGGCUCAACCAUGGGUCUGCAGUCGAUACGGGCAGGCUAGAAUUCGGUAGGGGAGACUGGAAUUCCUGGUGUAGCGGUGAAAUGCGCAGAUAUCAGGAGGAACACCGGUGGCGAAGGCGGAUCUCUGGGCCAUAACUGACGCUGAGGAGCGAAAGCAUGGGGAGCGAACAGG